CUUUAAGUUUCCUGUAGAGCCGUUGUAGACUACGACGUUGAUAGGCAAGGUGUGGAAGCGUUGAGAGGCGUUAAGCUAACUUGUACUAAUUGCUCGUGAGGCUUGACUAUAUAACCCCAAGAAAUUG
rnacentral:rRNA from 1 species